rnacentral:rRNA from 1 species
UGGGGAAUAUUGCACAAUGGGCGCAAGCCUGAUGCAGCGACGCCGCGUGAGGGAUGACGGCCUUCGGGUUGUAAACCUCUUUCAGCCGGGGCGAAGCGAAAGUGACGGUACCUGCAGAAGAAGCACCGGCUAACUCCGUGCCAGCAGCCGCGGCACUACGGAGGGUGCAAGCGUUAAUCGGACUUACUGGGCGUAAAGCGCACGCAGGCGGGCUGUUAGGUCGGCUGGGAAAUCCCGGGGCCCAACCCC